GGAGAUGUAGCUCAGUAGUACAGCACUUACCUAGCAUGUGCAAGGCCUUGGGUUCAAGUCCCUGCACCACCA
rnacentral:tRNA from 1 species